rnacentral:misc_RNA from 1 species
AAAGUCGUAACAAGGUCUCCGUUGGUGAACCAGCGGAGGGAUCAUUACAGAGUUGUAAAACUCCCAACCCUUUGUGAACGAACCUGACAGUUGCUUCGGCGGGAGGCCCUUUAGGGCCUCGCUCCCCGUGGGCACCCCGCCGGAGUCCUACAAACUCUUGAUUAUUUUGGCAUCUCUGAGUAGCUUACAAAUAAGUUAAAACUUUCAACAACGGAUCUCUUGGUUCUG